rnacentral:snRNA from 1 species
GUGCUUGCUUCGGCAGCACAUAUACUAAAAUUGGAUACAGAGAAGAUUAGUAUGGCCCCUGCGCAAGGAUGACAAAUUGGUGAAGCGUUCCAUAUUAAA